rnacentral:rRNA from 1 species
CAGUCGCCGCGGGAAAACGGAGGGGGCUAGCGUUGUUCGGAAUUACUGGGCGUAAAGCGCACGUAGGCGGCUUGGUAAGUUAGAGGUGAAAGCCUGGAGCUCAACUCCAGAAUUGCCUUUAAGACUGCCGAGCUAGCAGGUGAGAGAGGUAAGUGGAAUUCCGAGUGUAGAGGUGAAAUUCGUAGAUAUUCGGAAGAACACCAGUGGCGAAGGCGACUCACUGGCCCAUUACUGACGCUGAGGCUCGAAAGCGUGGGGAGCAAACAGGAUUAGAUACCCGUGUAGUCCCUGUCUCUUAUAC